ACAUGCCACUAACGAAGCAGAGAUGCAUUAGGUGCUCGAAAGAGAAAGUGGACACAGGUGCUGCAUGGCUGUCGUCAGCUCGUGUCGUGAGAUGUUGGGUUAAGUCCCGCAACGAGCGCAACCCUUGUCUCUAGUUGCUACGAAAGGGCACUCUAGAGAGACUGCCGGUGACAAACCGGAGGAAGGUGGGGAUGACGUCAAGUCCUCAUGGCCCUUAUGGGUAGGGCUUCACACGUCAUACAAUGGUGCAUACAGAGGGUUGCCAAGCCGCGAGGUGGAGCUAAUCCCAGAAAAUGCAUCGUAGUCCGGAUCGUAGUCUGCAACUCGACUACGUGAAGCUGGAGUCGCUAGUAAUCGCGGAUCAGCAUGCCGCGGUGAAUACGUUCCGGGGUCUUGUACACACCGCCCGUCACACCAUGGGAGUGGGCUUUACCAGAAGUAGUUAGCCUAACCGCAAGGAGGGCGAUUACCACGGUA
rnacentral:rRNA from 1 species